UCCACCGAAAUGGCUUCAGCGAAGGAAAACAAAAUAGUUGCAAGUGAAAUAAAGAUUGUAAGACUCAUUGAAAAAGAAGGAUUAAAUAGAGUAGUAUCUUUGAAGAUUCCCAUAUGUAUCCAGAUGACUGUCGCCCUUCAUAUGAUUCAAUGAUGACUCAUUAAUGACUGAUAGAAAUAAUCUAAACAGUAAACAACGAACGACCAAAGGUAGGGAAAAAAUAUAACUUAACGCAAU